AGAGUUUGAUCCUGGCUCAGGAUGAACGCUAGCGGCAGGCCUAAUACAUGCAAGACGAACGGUAAGUUGAGUAGCAAUACUUAGCCAAGAGUGUCGUACGGGUGCGUAACACGUAUGCAACCUACCCUAUACAGGAGGAUAGCCUAGGGAAACCUGGAUUAACCCUUCAUAGUAUUAUUGGAUGGCAUCAUUUGAUAAUUAAAACUGAGGUGGUAUAGGAUGGGCAUGCGUCUGAUUAGUUAGUUGGCGGGGUAAUGGCCCACCAAGACGAUGAUCAGUAGGGGUUCUGAGAGGAAGAUCCCCCACACUGGCACUGAGAUACGGGCCAGACUCCUACGGGAGGCAGCAGUAGGGAAUAUUGGUCAAUGGAUGCAAGUCUGAACCAGCCAUGCCGCGUGCAGGAAGAAGGCCUUCUGGGUUGUAAACUGCUUUUGCCAGGGGAUAAAAUUUCCAUGCGUGGGAAACUGAAGGUACCUGGUGAAUAAGCCACGGCUAACUACGUG
rnacentral:rRNA from 1 species